CCAGCUCCAAUAGCGUAUAUUAAAGUUGUUGCAGUUAAAAAGCUCGUAGUUGAAUUUCUGACUUUGAGGCGCGACCGACCCCGUGUGGGCCUGUGUCUGCGAAUCGAGGUCAUCCUCGAGGAAUGCGUAUCUGUCAUUCAGUUGAUGGGUACGAGUACCUCGUCAUUUACUGUGAGCAAAAUAGAGUGUUCAAAGCAGGCUUACGCCAUUGAAUACAUUAGCAUGGAAUAAUAAGAUAGGACCUUGGUCUAUUUUGUUGGUUAGUACUCCAAGGUAAUGAUUAAUAGGGAUGGUCGGGGGCAUUAAUAUUUAAUUGUCAGAGGUGAAAUUCUUGGAUUCAUGAAAGAUUAACUUCAGCGAAAGCAUCUGCCAAGGACGUUUUCAUUAAUCAAGAACGAAAGUUAGGGGAUCGAAGACGAUCAGAUACCGUCGUAGUCUUAACCAUAAACCAUGCCGACCAGCGAUCGGGAGACGUCCGCAUGGAUGACUCCCCCGGCAGCUUGUGAGAAAUCAUAAGUCUUUGGGUUCCGGGGGGAGUAUGGUCGCAAGGCUGAAACUUAAAGGAAUUGACGGAAGGGCACCACCAGGAGUGGAGCCUGCGGCUUAAUUCGACUCAAC
rnacentral:rRNA from 1 species